UGGGGAAUAUUGCACAAUGGGGGAAACCCUGAUGCAGCGACGCCGCGUGAAGGAUGAAGUAUUUCGGUAUGUAAACUUCUAUCAGCAGGGAAGAAGAUGACGGUACCUGACUAAGAAGCCCCGGCUAACUACGUGCCAGCAGCCGCGGUAAUACGUAGGGGGCAAGCGUUAUCCGGAUUUACUGGGUGUAAAGGGAGCGUAGACGGCGAUGCAAGCCAGAUGUGAAAGCCCGGGGCUCAACCCCGGGACUGCAUUUGGAACUGCGUGGCUGGAGUGUCGGAGAGGCAGGCGGAAUUCCUAGUGUAGCGGUGAAAUGCGUAGAUAUUAGGAGGAACACCAGUGGCGAAGGCGGCCUGCUGGACGAUGACUGACGUUGAGGCUCGAAAGCGUGGGGAGCAAACAGG
rnacentral:rRNA from 1 species